CCGGGGACGAGGAGCUGGCAUCAGGCACACCAGAUGGCCCAAGACGCCUUGCUCAGCCACACCCCCAAGGGAAUUCAGCAGUAAUAAACAUUAAGCCAUAAGUGAAAACUUGACUUAGUUAGGGUUAAGAGGGCCGGUAAAAUUCGUGCCAGCCACCGCGGUUAUACGAAAGACCCUAGUUUAUAGGCACGGCGUAAAGGGUGGUUAUGGGACAGACAAAAUAAAGCUAAAGACCCCCAGAGCCGUCAUACGCCCACGGGGGCACGAAACCCAAAUACGAAAGUAGCUUUACCAAACAAAUGCCCGACCCCACGAAAGCUGAGAAACAAACUGGGAUUAGAUACCCCACUAUGCCCAGCCUUAAACCUAGAUGAAAACUUACAAAACCAUCCGCCCGGGGACUACAAGCACAGCUUAAAACCCAAAGGACUUGGCGGUGCCUCAGACCCACCUAGAGGAGCCUGUUCUAGAACCGAUAACCCCCGUUAAACCUCACCACCUCUUGUUUUCCCCGCCUAUAUACCGCCGUCGUCAGCUUACCCUGUGAAGGUCCAACAGUAAGCAAAAUGGGCCCAACCC
rnacentral:rRNA from 1 species